AGUCACUCUGGAGGUCUACACUAAGCCGUUCAGCAUGCUUCCAUUGUCAGCAGUGGAGAAACCAGGCAACCUAUUGAUGCAAGGCCUGCUGGACAGGCUUGUUCCCGUGCUGGGGGAGCAGCUGCUGAGGGAGUACCAUUCCUGGGUCCAGCAGCAGCCUGAAGCUUCUUCAUGAUGUAGAGGGAGCCGACGCACGAUUCUCCGAUGCCUCGAGCAUUUCAUGCUUGGAGGUGGAUGGCAUUGGGGAUGGUUCGGCUGGUUCCCAGGGCUGUGGGAAUCCAUGUGGGGAUGGUUCAUAGGGGUAUCGGUUGCUGAUUUAUACAGUGGAACUGUUGAAGGAUUAGACAAAAAA